rnacentral:lncRNA from 1 species
AUAGAUGAGUGGAUGGGUGGGUAGGUAGGUAGGUAGAUGGAUGGGUGGGUGGAUUGUGGGUGGUGGGUGAAUGGGUGGAUGGGUAGAUGGGUGGAUAGAUAGAUAGAUGGGUGAUUUCUUCUUCUAGUUGGAUCCUCAUCCCAGGAUGAGUAUCUGCCACCACACUCCUAAGAACCUCAGGGAAGACCAUCUCCCUUUGUUUCUGUUAGUGUCCAUCCGCCAGCAUGGAGCACCAUCUACCUGCCAGCCUUUGCCAAAUAUAGGUGCAUAUUUGUAGGGUUUAGGAUGGAAGCCAGGGUCUUACCAUGCAGGUUGGCUGGGCAACAGUCAAUUUUCAUUGUCCACUUGAGGCAACCAAGGACUACCAGGGAAUGGCGUCUCAGUGAGGGACUGUAGCGUAGGUGGAUGUGGGCCUGUCUGUGUGGGAUCACCUUUGUGCUCUGUUAUUGUUUGAGUCGGGGUCUCUCUAUUAUGCGGCCCUAGCUAUCCUAGAACUCGAUCUGUAGACUGGGUUGGUCAACUUAAAGAGAUCCACCUGCUUUUGCCUCCCGAAUGCUGGGAUUAAAGUCAUGCACUAUCAUAACUGGCCAAGGGGUUCUCUGUUGUGUUACCUUGGGUGGGAAGAAGACUGGUACAUUGUCCCUGGAUUUGGGUCCUGAACUGUGUGAAUAGAGAAGGCAUGGGAGGGGGCUGUGUAGACAGCUCAGUAGUUAAGGGCAGCCACAGCUCCCAGCAACUGCAGCUCACAGCCACCUGUGACUCCAGCUCCUGUGAUCUGCCUCCCCCUUCUGGCCUGAGAAAGUACUGCACGUACACACGCAAGACACUGCCCCACUCUCAACUAAAAACAAAACU